AACCUUGCAAAAAAAUGUCAUUAGUUUGCAAAGCAAGUGACGGGUGGCAUGAUAUGUAUGCGAGUGAUGCAAAAAGGUUGAAGUACGAUGUACAAUUUGUCCAUUUCUCAAGAAUCUGGGCCCGAAAUCUAUUAAAAUCAUCGACGCUUUCAGAAGAAUGAUAUUCCAGUUUUUCUGCUUGCUAGUUCGGAUUGUUGAUCUUCUUCUCUCCGUCCUUGAUAUAGCUCGGGAGUACAUGAACAACAGGAUUAAACCUGAACCUGGAGCUCAGGUAGAGUCUAGUACUGGAACAUGUGUAGCUCUGUAUAUCCUUGUUAUUUACUAUAUCUCCGGGUUCUGCUCCUCCCACCUACCAGACUGUCCCUGCUCCAGAGGGACCUGGAUACACUCUGAUAUAUCAGACUGGGGGAGAACCCCUUUUUAGCUAAAGGAACUGUCUCUAGUCUGUUCCGGGUACACGUUUCAUCUGAUUUGAUCAUGAUUUAGGAACUUUCUCGUCUGCUCCAGGAACCGUCUCCAGUCUGCUGCAGGAACCGUCUCCAGUCUGCUCCAGGUACACUUUUCAUCUGAUUUGAUCAUGAUUUAGGAACAGUCUCCAGUCUGCUCCAGGUACACU
rnacentral:lncRNA from 1 species